AAUAAGUGUAGCUAUGCAUUGUUCAUAUCCAACAUUUAACUGUUCAUUUUAUUUGAAAAAUUUUUAUGAUUAGUAUUUUUAUUGUUAUUAAAUGAUAAAACAUUAAUAAUAUUUGUUGUGUGACUAAUUUUUUAACUUUUUUAUAUUUUUUUUAAAUAAGAUAGAUGGUCAAACAUUGAACAGAAGUAUCCGACUGCACUUAUG
rfam:Oryza punctata chromosome 5, whole genome shotgun sequence.